GAAACUUCUAAUAGCUAAAGCAGAAAUGAUAUCAUAAAGCCAUCUUCCAAUUUUCUUAUUAAAUUGACAUAUAAUUCUAGACAUAAAGGUGGAUGUGAAGAAUAACGAUGAAUAAAAUAAGAAGCAGACCAUAUAUAAUCAUGUGAACAAAUAUGGAGGCAGCGCUUGUCUUCAUGUUCAUGAAAUCAAGUGGUCGUCCUUUUCCAGGAAUUUGAAACACCAAUCCUGGUGAUAGAAAUGCAAACAGAGCUGCAGCUAUGAUCGGAGCAGCCCAGUCCUUCAUGAUAUUCUCAAUACCCUUUUCUUCUCUCUGCUUCUUUCUUUUAAUUAGCAAUCUGAAACUCAACCUCUGUUUCUCAAAAGAGGAAGAGAAGAAGAAGAAUCAAACUAAAUAUAUAGAAAAGAAAAAACCCAAUAGAGAUAAAAAGAAAAAUAAAUAAUACCUUUUGGAAAUGGAGGGAAUAUUAAAGUGCAUGAAAUAAUAAAUUAUUUUAAAGGUUUUUGUUGGUAUAUACGUUGGGAGAUAGAGC
rnacentral:lncRNA from 1 species